GAUGAAGAACGUAGCGAAAUGCGAUAAGUAAUGUGAAUUGCACAAUUCAGUGAAUCAUCGAAUCUUUGAACGCACAUUGCGCCCGCCAGUAUUCUGGCGGGCAUGCCUGUUCGAGCGUCAUUUCAACCAUCAAGCCCCGGGCUUGUGUUGGGGACCUGCGGCUGCCGCAGGCCCUGAAAACCAGUGGCGGGCUCGCUGUCACACCGGGCGUAGUAGAUUUUAUCUCGCUCUGGGCGUGCUGCGGGUUCCGGCCGUUAAAAAACCCUUUUAACCCAAGGUUGACCUCGGAUCAGGUAGGAAUACCCGCUGAACUUAAGCAUAUCAAUAAGCGGAGGA
rnacentral:misc_RNA from 1 species